rnacentral:lncRNA from 15 species
UGCUCUUAAAGACCCUCAGUGUCCAUCAGUCCAUCAGGUUUGGUGUCAGCAGGUAGCUGGGUGAACCUGACCUGCUCCAGCAGAGCCAAGCCUCCCGUCAGCCGCUUCACCUGGUUCAAGAACAGCAAAGAUGGACCCAUGAAUGUAUCUGAAGGACCGUUUUACAGCUUCAAUGUGACAGAUGGAGGAGAUUAUUACUGUGUGGCUACAAAUGAUCUCGGCAAUGAAACAUCAUCAAUUUGUCUUAAUAUUAAAGGUAAAUACUGAACUGGACUGUGUCCCCUUACUUUGAUCUUUGAAAAGUUUCUGCAUUACCCUUUAGUUACAUGUCUUCUUUUAGUAGUUUCUCAUAUUUAGUUUGUUUGUAUGAACAGAACCACCCAAUGGAUCUCUACAGUGGGGGCCAGUUCUUGGAGGAAUUAUUGGGAUCAUCAUGCUCGUCUGCCUGGUUGUCUGUGUUUGCAUUCUUGUGCAUUGGAGGCGGGUGAAGUCCACAGAUUCAACUCAGCAACUGAAUCAGGUGAGAAAAUACUAAACUCCUCUGUACAGCACUGCACCAUAAAUGUGUUGCACCUGCUUACAGUGACUGUGUAGAUAUAUGAAAGCAUAAAGGACUGAACAUUAAAUGGACAAUCUAUGAGAUAUUCUUUAUAAGUAAAAAUAUGAAGAAACAGGAAGUGUGACAAAAUAUCCUGUUGGCAGAUGAAAGUCCACAUCCAGAUACUAACAACAUUUCAUGUUUGUGCAGAGUCCAACAGGUGAAGAGCUGACUGUUGCAGAGUCAGCAAGAAAUACAGAUG